GUUUUGGUUUGUCAGUCACUGUGUUUUCUUUUGACAAUUUCGUCAAUAGACCUGUGCAGGAGUUCAUCAAAUUCACUCACCUGAUGGAUUUUGACAUUUGAGCGGGUCGUCUUCUCGAACAAAAGUUCAUUUUGCGUUCAUUAUGCGACCCGCUCAAACGUCAUAAUUUCUUGGGGGAGUUCAUUUUGCGUUAGUCUAUUCGCGGAAUUUUAUCUCGUUCGAGCGCUCUAAAACGGGUCGAAAUCAAUAAUGUUCAAUGAUCGGUUGUGAUGGCAUCAUUUGUCUUGGGAAUUCAACCACGAUAAGUAUUCCGAGGAUCAAGGAAAUUCGGGCUAUUUACGUUUCCAUUUUCUCAUCUGGUCUGCAGUCCCAGCGAGAAUCUAAUAAGAAUGUUUAUUCAGCUAAGUAUCUGAUAAUGUUGACGUCAAUGAAUCAUUGACAAAAUUUUUCAGAUUCUACUAUUAAUCAUUUAUUUUUUCUUUCAUUUCAGGUCCCUGGCUUCAAAUCAGCAGCGGAGAAAAUGCCAAGAGAUUUUCCCACCCCCCUGGCGUCCUAUACUACCACAAGGGGUUUGACAAUAGCCACCAUGUCCACGGACGGUAGCUCAUUACCGUCCGUUGUUAUUGUACGAAAAUAAACAUUAUGUGUUUUGUUUACUA